rnacentral:rRNA from 1 species
AACGUAGGUACCGAGCGUUAUCCGGAUUUACUGGGCGUAAAGCGCGUUCAGGCGGUUUGGCAAGUCGGGCAUGAAAUCUCUCGGCUCAACCGGGAGAGGUUGUCCGAUACUGCUGGACUUGAGGGCAGUAGAGGUAGGCGGAAUUCCGGGUGGAGUGGUGAAAUGCGUAGAGAUCCGGAGGAACACCAGAGGCGAAGGCGGCCUACUGGGCUGCACCUGACGCUGAGCCGCGAAAGCCAGGGGAGCGAACGGG